GGUUUUCUCUUGCCUCACUUCAACACGUCUUCCUGUUUUGUGAUCAUGUGAAUCAUUGUGAUAUAACAGUGAAGUAGACUGACAUUGGCGAUGUGUAUACCAACCUCAAGUCAAAUAGGACAUUUGGCCAUUUGAAAGUGAAGAGAUUAGAGCGAGUACAUCGGGACUCGUUUGGUCCUAUAUACUGUAGCAAAACAGCGCUGAGUGGAUUUUUAGUGCAACAGAAAGAACUGUUGCUCGGCAGUGGUGUCGGUCUGGUCUUUCUGAGGAAGCGCUGUGGUUGAGGUGGCUGCUGCUGAGUGGAGCGGUGCUACAGACAUGCUCUUCCCCAUCCGCGUCAUUGGACUUCACUGAACACAACAUCUGAAUACAGUUUAGAGCUUAAACUUGAGCAUAUAGAUAUAUUUUUUUUUCUCCCUGUAAUGUUACAUGAUUUGAGCUUCCUGUUUUAAUUUAAUUAGUUCACUAGUGGGAGAUUCGGGAGUAAGGUGACUUGACUGAUGACAUCUUCAAGACGGCUAGCUGCAGAGAUUUGUCAUUCCUCUUUUAUAAGGGCCUUCUUCCCUUCCAUUAGAUUGAGUCUACAAAACCCUCUGUGCUCCUGCUGCUUCUCGCUUCCCCACCAUGCCUCGCUCUUUCCUGGUGAGGAGGGGGGGCUCUCACCCUCUGCGCCCCAAAGCAGGUAGCCCCUGCUUGGGCACGACCCUGGUGCCAGUGGGUCCCUCAGAAACGGACAAGAGGCAGUGGGGUACCCUUCAGGGACAGCCGUCACCGAAGAGUGCAGUGUCUCUAGUGACACACAAUGAGGUCUACCCACCACAGCCCUCUCCACCUCCAGCCCUCCACCCUGCCUCACAUAGCCCCCCUUACCUUCACCCCACCAGUCCCAUGUUUUCAGGUGAUAGAGCUGCGCUGCACCACCACUCUCCCUCCCAGUUGAAACCUGGCAGCCCUGCUGAAGAGGUGGGCUCUCCCCUCCUGGGAGAGACCCGACACAGAGACUGUCCCCAGAUCAGUGACCACAGGACCACUGGGACUGAAUGUCCACUGUGUGGAAAAAGUUUCUUUUCUGUCUCCAGUCUGGAGUCCCACGUCCACAAGUCCCAUGGUGGCAGACACAAGCAGUCGUCAUCAGCACAAACAAAGACUAACAGUCAGCCGUACGGCUAUAGGCCAGACCUGGUUUUGAGCUACAGGGUCAAGGAGCGUACGUUUGGCUGUAAGGUGUGUGGGAAAGUGUUCAAGCGCUCCUCCACCCUGUCCACUCACCUGCUAAUCCACUCUGACACGCGACCCUACCCCUGUCAAUACUGUGGCAAAAGAUUUCACCAGAAAUCUGAUAUGAAAAAACACACCUUCAUUCACACUGGUGAGAAGCCCCAUGUGUGCCUGGUGUGUGGCAAAGAGCUCCAACCACAUCACCCACAGCCGUCAGCACAGUGGCAACCAGCCCUACCACUGCCGCCUCUACGGCUUCCAACGCAAACUGGACCUGAGACAGCGCAUAUACCUUCAGGCUAAGACCCUGAUACCAGCUGAUCUGAGACCAGUUUUAAUAAGCAAGAGAACAACUCCACAUAGAUAGCAACUCAGAGACUCUUACAUGGUCAGAACUGACCCCAGCAAAUGUUUUAAUUCUUAGUCUGAUCAUCGUUUUAUUAUUUUAGGUGCUCAAACUCCCUUGAUUGUCUGUGAUUUACUUGUCAGGGUAGUUCAAGGAAUGGUACUUUGAGAUAAAAUACGUUUUAGUGUUUGACAUCUAAAUAUACAGCUCUUGUGACGCCCACGUCGGUUCUCGAACUGAAUCUUGCUCUUCAGUUCUCCGGCACAUAAACUUUUACCUAGAUUGGGCUGAGAACCCCCCACCGACCCUCCCUCCCUCCCUCUGUAAGAUCUACCCUAUAAAAGCAGAGCCAUCUCUCCACUCUGCACUAGAACACCUGAUUACUACAACCUUCAAACCCUCCACUGCACCAAGGAAGAACACCCAGACACAGCAAUGGGAGCUAGUGGUUCAAUCAACGUCAACAGCGAUGCGCAAGGUUGUAAUAUAGCCAACGCAACAGGUGGCAAAGUGCGUCUCUACUACAAGUCAGAGAAGAUGGCUCUCAGUGACCUCAUCGAGGGGAGUCAUCUCAAGAAGGGCGACUCCAUCCUCAUUCUGGAAGGCACCUUUAAGAAGAGCAUUCUCCCACAUAACCUCUAUGUCACUGGCUUCCAAGUAGAAAGUGACAAUUCACAUAGUUGCCCUAAGGAAUCCCCACUGAAUGGGCUGAACAACCUCCUGGCAGAGUAUGCACAGGGUCAGCCCAAGUCCUACAUCCUCACUGUCGAUAAAGAGGUCAAGUUCGCCAAGACCGGAGAGAUCUGGGUGGAUGAGGACGGGGUGGAUCACAACCCCAAAAAGUAACGCCACCAGGGAACCUUCUGUAUCUUAACACCCUUUAUUAAUCACAGAUUAAACUACAUUACGUGUACAGAUUUAAAUUCAAGAGAUUCAAUCACAGAUCCAUGAAAUGGGGUGUUCUUACUGCUAAUGCUUUUUUGUAUAGUAGAAAUCAGCAACUAUACUUUUUGACAAAUAAAUGUGUAACCAAA